rnacentral:rRNA from 1 species
CGGCAAAAGCUCAAAUUUGAAAUCUGGCUCCUUUAGGGGUCCGAGUUGUAAUUUGCAGAGGAUGCUUCGGGAGCGGCCACGGCUUAAGUGCCUUGGAACAGGACGUCAUAGAGGGUGAGAAUCCCGUCUUGAGUCGUUGGUCCGCGCCCAUGUGAAGCUCCUUCGACGAGUCGAGUUGUUUGGGAAUGCAGCUCUAAGCGGGUGGUAAAUUUCAUCUAAAGCUAAAUAUUGGCCGGAGACCGAUAGCGCACAAGUAGAGUGAUCGAAAGGUUAAAAGCACCUUGAAAAGGGAGUUAAACAGCACGUGAAAUUGUUGAAAGGGAAGCGCUUGCGGCCAGACUCGGGUACAGGGUUCAGCGGGUGCGUGUCACCCGUGUACUCCCUGUUUCUCGGGCCAGCAUCAGUUCUGACGGCCGGUCAAAGGCCUCUGGAAUGUGU